CUCAUUUUAAAAAGACAGUAAGAACUUAGUAACAACUUAAAAUAAGCUAAUUCAUUCAUCAAGUAAUUUCAAUGAUAUUGUAUUUGUUGUUUAAGAAUCAAAGACAAAACACCAAGUUGUGUAGGGGAUGGGAGUGUUUAUGUGAUAUUAUAUUUAUUGAGUCCAUUACAUUAAUUUCCCUCAUGACUGGCAAUGGAGGAUCAGUUGCUAUCUUUAUAUUUUCUAGAGAUAUCUCAGAAUCUCACAUUUUUUUUUCAGAUGAAUGCUUAGUCUUUCACAUUGUUUCUUAAUUUCUAUUUUUGUCUGUCAAAGAGAGUGUGUGUGUGGGUGUGUGUGUUUCCUGGGAGUUACACCGUAAAAGGCAUAGCUGUCAUUCAUUUUUAUACAAAAGUGGAACUUAGAAACAAUAAAACCUGGCAGCUCCAAACCAAGAGAAUUCUGUACUAGCUAAUUAUUGCCUAUGCAAAUGAUCACAUGCACAUCGGACCAUAAACAGCAUUUAAAAAUCUGUUCUCUCUCAGUGUCUGCCAAAGAGAAUGGCAUACACCACAAAGUAAAAAUUAAAAUGCUUGCAUAGGCAUUAAUAGGCAUUAGUUAAUUGCAAAAUAAUGACCUCAGACCUUAUGAAAUGUCACUUCAUAGAAAAGAAAUGCACAAUCCCUGAUGAUACCUCUGUUCAAAACCUUAGAUCACAUAUAUGCAUCAGUUGGAAUGGUGGUGACCUAAAUUAGGUCACCUAAUUUAGGCAUACUUUAGCCUAAUAAGGCAUGCCAAAACUUGCAUCCCUAAGGAACCUCCCCUGAGGGGGAAGUGUGCUCAUGAGAGAAGACUUUCUAAUUACUGGAAAAUUUAUCUCUGUCUUGGAUAAUGCACAGGUUUUUACAGAUCACUGAGUACUAGUUCCAUACCAUGCACUUUCCAAUAUUAGUCCUAAUCAUAGGGGAAAAUAAGGUAAGACUUUUCUUGGAUCAAGAACCACCCAACCUGUGAAUCCAUUUACAUUACCCCUUUAUUUUAUUAGUUGUCCCCAUCAAUCUCGACAUUUCCAUUCUUCCUACCCACUCUGGAAGGUUGAUUGCUGUAGUUUGGAUGUUUAUCUUCCCAAACCUCAUGUUGAAAUUGGAUCCCCAAUGUUGGAGGUGGAGCCUAACUGGAGGUGUUUGGAUCCUGGGAGUGAAUUCCUCUUGAAUGUCUUCAUGCCAUCCUUGCAGUAAUGGCCAAUGUAUUUGAGAGUGCGCAGAUUAACUAACUCUCAGUUCAAGCUGAGGCAUGAAGAAAAAGUGUGUUCCUUGAGGUAAGAUUUGGUACAAAGACACUUACGUAGAUUAUUAAAAAAACAAAAACAAACUAUGUAUGACCAGCUUUUAUUGACCAUAUAUGUGAUUCAUAUUUUCAUUUAUCUCAAACUGCCACAUAUUAAGAUAUCCAUGUUUACUCAAUAUAUGAGUUGUUUGGAAAUAGUACUAGUUCUUUUCAUUAGAAAAAUAGGUAGAAGAGCUCUGACUUGAGAAGCUCUUGGCCUCUUGUGCACACAAACUCACACACAAACACACAAACAUGCCAUAAUCCCAAUAACUUUCAGUGACCUAUAUUGACUAAAGGGAUUUCUAAUUUCUUCAUAUACUUUAACUUAAAUUAAAUCAUCUCAGCAUUUGGGAUUAACUUAAUUUAUACAAAAAUAAACAUGUGGAAACACAGAAUUCACAUUGUUGUUGCUUAGUUUGUAAGCCUAAGGCAACUAUUAUUUUAAGCCAAGAACAGAAAAACAAAUGGCAUAUGGUCUUAUUCAUAGGUAGAGUCUAAAAAUGUUUAUUUCAUGGAAGUAGAGGUAGAAUGGUGGUUAAUGAGGGCAGUGGGUGUUGGAGAGAUGUUGGCCAAAGGAUACAAAAUUUCAGUUAAACAGGAGGAAUGAGUUCAAGAGAUCCAUCGCACCACGUGGUGGCUACAUGUAAUAGUAUGUUGUAUUCUUGAAAAAUGCUAAAAGGGUGGAUGUGAAAUUUUCUCCACA
rnacentral:lncRNA from 10 species